CGCCCAUUAGCUAGCCCCAAACUCAAAACCAAAAACAACCAAUCAACAUCCAUACCCCCAAAGACACUAACCCUAGAACAAAACAAACCAUUUUUCCCCCUUAGUAUGGGCGACAGAAAAGGAACCAUGGAGCAAUAGAAAAAGUACCGCAAGGGAAAGCUGAAAGAGAGAUGAAAUAGCCCAAUAAAGCCUAAAAAAGCAGAGAUUCAACCUCGUACCUUUUGCAUCAUGAUUUAGCAAGUAACCCCCGAGCAAAGAGACCUUUAGUUCGGCCCCCCGAAACUAAGCGAGCUACUCCAAGACAGCCUAAAAUAGGGCAAACCCGUCCCUGUGGCAAAAGGGUGGGAUGAGCUUUGAGUAGAGGUGACAGACCUACCGAGCCUAGUUAUAGCUGGUUGCCUGGGAAUUGGAUACAAGUUCAGCCUCUCGGCUUCUCCCGUUAAUCUGUUCGACUCACCCUCCUUCCCCCCUGAACGCCAAAAGAAACCAAGAGAGUUAGUCAAAGGGGGCACAGCCCCUUUGAAACAAGACACAACUUUACCAGAAGGGUAAAGAUCAUAAUAAAUUUAAGGUAAGAUGUUCUGGUGGGCCUAAAAGCAGCCAUCCCAAUAGAAAGCGUUAAAGCUCAGACAUACCCCCUAUCCUUUUAUCCUGAUAACCUAAUCUUAACCCCCUAGCCCUACCAGGCCGCCCCAUGCCCCCAUGGGAGCGAUUAUGCUAGAAUGAGUAAUAAGAGAGCCCUGACUCUCUCCCCGCACAAGUGUAACUCGGAAUGGACCUACCACCGAACCUUAACGGCCCCAAACAAAGAGGGUAAUGAAUACCAAACUAAACAACCAGAAAAUCACUCAAAUACAACUACCGUUAACCCUACACCGGCGUGCUUACAAGGAAAGACUAAAAGAGAAAGAAGGAACUCGGCAAACACAUUGGCCUCGCCUGUUUACCAAAAACAUCGCCUCUUGCAAAGCCAAAGAAUAAGAGGUCCCGCCUGCCCUGUGACUAUAUGUUUAACGGCCGCGGUAUUUUGACCGUGCGAAGGUAGCGUAAUCACUUGUCUUUUAAAUGGAGACCCGUAUGAAUGGCAUGACGAGGGCUUAACUGUCUCCUUUCUCAAGUCAAUGAAAUUGAUCUCCCCGUGCAGAAGCGGGGAUAAUACCAUAAGACGAGAAGACCCUAUGGAGCUUUAGACACAAGGCAGAUCAUGUUAAACACCCCUAAACAAAGGACUAAACCCCGUGAACACUGCCCUAAUGUCUUUGGUUGGGGCGACCACGAGGAAAAAGAACCCCCGUGCGGACUGGGGGCAUACCCCCCUAUCACCAAGAGCUCCCGCUCUAAUGACCAGAAUUUCUGACCAAACAGAUCCGGCAUAGCCGAUCAACGGACCGAGUUACCCUAGGGAUAACAGCGCAAUCCCCUUUUAGAGCCCAUAUCGACAAGGGGGUUUACGACCUCGAUGUUGGAUCAGGACAUCCUAAUGGUGCAGCCGCUAUUAAGGGUUCGUUUGUUCAACGAUUAAAGUCCUACGUGAUCUGAGUUCAGACCGGAGUAAUCCAGGUCAGUUUCUAUCUAUGACACGAGCUUCUCUAGUACGAAAGGACCGAGAAGAAGAGGCCCAUGCCCAAAGUAUGCCUCCCCCUAACCUAAUGAAGACAACUAAAUUAGAUAAUAGGGCGUACAACCCACAGCCAAAGACAAUGGCCU
rnacentral:rRNA from 1 species